rnacentral:misc_RNA from 1 species
GUGAAUUAAACAUGCUUGGUGUCUUCGCUUCGGCAAGGCCCUUGCUUAAAUCACAAUCCUAACACCUGUGAACUGUAAGACGUAUGAUGAGGUCUUUGGCCAAGUCAUCGUCUGCCCAUUUUAACAAACAAUUAAUGUAACAAACGUAGUCUUAUUAUACCUAAUA